rnacentral:rRNA from 1 species
AACGAACGCUGGCGGCAGGCUUAACACAUGCAAGUCGAGCGCCCCGCAAGGGGAGCGGCAGACGGGUGAGUAACGUGUGGGAACGUGCCCUUUGGUUCGGAACAACUCCGGGAAACUGGAGCUAAUACCGGAUAAGCCCUUCGGGGGAAAGAUUUAUCGCCAAAGGAUCGGCCCGCGUCUGAUUAGAUAGUUGGUGAGGUAAUGGCUCACCAAGGCGACGAUCAGUAGCUGGUCUGAGAGGAUGAUCAGCCACACUGGGACUGAGACACGGCCCAGACUCCUACGGGAGGCAGCAGUGGGGAAUAUUGGACAAUGGGCGCAAGCCUGAUCCAGCCAUGCCGCGUGAGUGAUGAAGGCCUUAGGGUUGUAAAGCUCUUUUGUCCGGGAAGAUAAUGACUGUACCGGAAGAAUAAGCCCCGGCUAACUUCGUGCCAGCCGCCGCAGUAAAAC